rnacentral:rRNA from 1 species
GACGAACGCUGGCGGCGUGCUUAACACAUGCAAGUCGAACGAUGAAGAAGAGAAACGCGAACUUCGGUUCAAAUUUCACUUCGGAUUAGUGGCAGACGGGUGAGUAACGCGUGAGCAACCUACCUCUUACAAAGGGAUAGCCUCGGGAAACCGUGAUUAAUACCAUAUGACACAUUCAUAAGGCAUCUUAAGAAUGUUAAAGCUACGGCGGUAAGAGAUGGGCUCGCGUCCCAUUAGCUAGUUGGUGAGGUAACGGCCCACCAAGGCGACGAUGGGUAACCGGCCUGAGAAGGUGAACGGUCACAUUGGAACUGAGACACGGUCCAAACUCCUACGGGAGGCAGCAGUGGGGAAUAUUGCACAAUGGAGGGAACUCUGAUGCAGCGACGCCGCGUGAGAGAUGAAGGAAUUCGUUUCGUAAAGCUCUGUUCUAUGGGAAGAAAAGGACUGUACCAUAGGAGAAAGCCCCGGCUAAAUACGUG